rnacentral:lncRNA from 1 species
UUUUUUCCAUUUUUCUUCCAACACCAAUCGCUCAAUCACUUUCACAGUACACUGUGAUCAACCAUGUUCAUAAUUUUUUAUCUUGAAUCUGGCAUUGUUCACUUCGUUGUUCAUCACCUCAACGUACUCCAACAUUCAUAUUCAUAUGUUACACACCCUUCAUCAUGCACUAUAAACGUUUGUUUGUAUACAUAGCUAGGUCUCACUCACAUCAUUGAUUCACGUAGAAACAUUU